rnacentral:rRNA from 1 species
AUUGAACGCUGGCGGCAGGCCUAACACAUGCAAGUCGAACGAGUGGCGGACGGGUGAGUAAUGUAUGGGAAACUGCCCGAUGGAGGGGGAUAACUACUGGAAACGGUAGCUAAUACCGCAUACCAUCGGACGCGCCCAUAUGGGAUUAGCUAGUAGGUGGGGUAACGGCUCACCUAGGCAACGCUCCCUAGCUGGUGUGAGAGGAGGACCAGCCACACGGGGACUGAGACACGGUCCAGACUCCGACGGGAGGCAGCAGUGGGGAAUAUUGCACAAUGGGGGCAACCCUGAUGCAGCCAUGCCGCGUGUAUGAAGAAGGCCUUAGGGUUGUAAAGUACUUUCAGCGGGGAGGCGUUACCCGCAGAAGAAGCACCGGCUAACUACGUGCCAGCCGCCGCGGUAAUAC